rnacentral:rRNA from 1 species
UAGAUACCCCACUAUGAGCCGUCCUAAAUCUCGACACCACACCAGAACUAAAGUGUCCGCCUGAGAACUACGAGCAUGAACGCUUAAAACUCUAAGGACUUGGCGGUGCCUCAAACCCACCUAGAGGAGCCUGUUCUAUAAUCGAUAACCCACGAUACACCCGACCACUCUUUGCUUAACACAGCCUACAUACCGCCGUCGCCAGUUUACCUAACUUGAGAGAACAGUAGUGAACACAACAGCCCUAACCACGCUAACAAGACAGGUCAAGGUAUAGCCUACGGAGUGGAAGAAAUGGGCUACAUUUUCUAACCUAGAGAACUACGAAAAGGGGUAUGAAACUCCCCCUGGAAGGCGGAUUUAGAAGUAAAGCCGGGCAAUAAUACCCCCUUAAAACCGGCCCUGAGGUACGUACAUACCGCCCGUCACCCUCCUCACAAGCCACAUACACAUGUAACUUAACACUAUUCUUGCCAAAGAUGAGGC